GGCCGCUCCUGGGCCGUCCGGGCGCGAUACAUGUGCUGUGGUGGCGUGCACCUCUCACGGUGUGCCUAGCCGCCGAUGCCCAGGCUGCACGACCACGUCUGGAGCUACCCAAGCGCGGGCGCUGCGAGGCCGUACAGCCUCCCGCGAGGCAUGAUUGCGGCGGCCCUCUGUCCGCAGGGCCCCGGAGCCCCCGAGCCCGAGCCCGCGCCCCAGGGCCAGCGAGAGGGAACCGCAGCCUUCAGCACACGACCCGGCAGCUGGCACCAUGACCUGGUGCAGCGGAGCCUCGUGCUCUUCUCAUUUGGCGUGGUCCUGGCUCUGGUGCUCAACCUGCUGCAGAUCCAGCGGAAUGUCACGCUCUUCCCGGACGAGGUGAUAGCCACCAUCUUCUCCUCCGCCUGGUGGGUGCCCCCGUGCUGUGGCACGGCAGCCGCUGUUGUCGGCUUAUUGUAUCCCUGUAUUGACAGUCACCUGGGAGAACCACACAAGUUCAAGA
rnacentral:lncRNA from 1 species